rnacentral:rRNA from 1 species
UUGAACGCUGGCGGCAUGCCUAACACAUGCAAGUCGAACGGCAGCACGGUCUGGUUUACCAGAUGGGUGGCGAGUGGCGGACGGGUGAGUAAUGCGCAGGAAUAUGCCUUAAAGAGGGGGAUAACUUGGGGAAACUCAAGCUAAUACCGCGUAAUCUCUGAGGAGGAAGCUGGGGACCUUCGGGCCUGGCGCUUUAAGAUUAGCCUGCGUCCGAUUAGCUAGUUGGUAGGGUAAAGGCCUACCAAGGCGACGAUCGGUAGCUG